rfam:Candidatus Adlerbacteria bacterium RIFCSPLOWO2_01_FTLL_54_21b rifcsplowo2_01_scaffold_8942, whole genome shotgun sequence.
GCCGGGGUGGCGGAAUGGCAGACGCAGGGGGCUUAAAACCCCCGGAGGAAAUAAAACCCUCAUGAGAGUUCGAGUCUCUCCCCCGGUA